GACGAACGCUGGCGGCGUGCCUAACACAUGCAAGUCGAACGAGAUCCAUGGGAGCUUGCUCCCGGAAGAUCUAGUGGCGAACGGGUGAGUAACACGUGAGAAACCUGCCCUGGAGUGGGGAAUAACUCGGGGGAAACUCGAGCUAAUACCGCAUACCCUCGGAUGGUCGCAUGGCCGACCGAGGAAAGAUUUUAUCGCUCUAGGAGGGUCUCGCGGCCUAUCAGCUAGUUGGUGGGGUAACGGCCUACCAAGGCAACGACGGGUAGCUGGUUUGAGAGAACGAUCAGCCACACUGGGACUGAGACACGGCCCAGACUCCUACGGGAGGCAGCAGUGGGGAAUCUUGCGCAAUGGGCGAAAGCCUGACGCAGCAACGCCGCGUGCGGGAUGACGGCCUUCGUGGUUGUAAACCGCUUUCAGCAGGGACGAAAAUAGACGGUACCUGCAGAAGAAGACACCGGCUAACUACGUGCCAGCAGCCGCGGUAAU
rnacentral:rRNA from 1 species